rnacentral:misc_RNA from 1 species
UACCUGCUGGCAGAAAUAUAGGUUAGUCCAUCCAUAUUUACUGUACUGCUAUUAAAGAAAAUAUUAAACAUAAAAAAUUCUUCCCUCAAUAUUGAACAUGCUCUAAUUAUAUUUAGAUGGCUUCAUUUAUUUCAGUUGACAGAGACAUCCUCCUCUUUUCUUGCUACUUUGGUUUUGCAAACGUGUUAAGUAGCCAUAUAAAACAAGAAAACCUCAAAUGGGAGUAAGGUCACUUGUCAUAUAGACAAGACUGAAACAAAUUAAUUGUAGAUUGUCCAUUAGUGGCAAGAACAGUAAUGAAGGUCACAUCUGAAUUACAGCGAGCAGCAAGCAAUGGCAGAGUACACAGUACACUUGCAAAAGGUAAGGCUAUGGAAAUGAAAGUUUUGAGGAUGAGGAAAUGAUAAGAUUAGAGAAGAAAGAGAGGUCUAAAAAGCAUAUGAUUCCCAGUACAUAUAAAAAGAAAAUCUCCAUUCUUUGCCGAUUCUUUGAUAUGCAAAACUAGCAUAAGAUCAGCAUAAUAAUGGUAGGAUUCAAACACUAGCAAUUACUCCAAAAGAAUUGAAUAUCAAAGAAAACAGCAAACAAUUCAAACAUCCUUGUAUUUCUUGGUUUUUCUUGUAAAGAAUAUAGGGCAAUAAUGAAUUAAAUUGAUUUCUUUCAUAUUUGGGCACAACAAAAGUGAAAAAGGAAGGGAAAGCAUACGCUUUGGUGGAGGCAUAGAUGGCAUUUAAUGGGUACGAAGGGAUGGCUACAGAUGAUGCAGACCCAAUAUUAACGAUUGCACCUUUCUUCUUCUUCAACAUCACAGGAAUCACUGACCUAGUUACCCAAGUUGCUGCCUCUGCAUUCACCUUGAUAAUGCUUUCCAUCAGCUCCAAAUCAACCUCAUGAAAGAACCUGGAAUAAGGGUAGGCCAAUCCUGCAUUAUUUAUCACAACACCAAUAUCUAACCCUUCAAUACACUCCUCUAUUGCCCUUGAUAUCUCCUCUCCAUUAGACCUUGCAAGAUCUAUGACGCUUGUUUUUAUCUGCAGUUGAUCAUUAUUCUUGCCAUUUCUUGCUCGUAUUUCUUUAGCUGUAGCUUCAAGUUUCGAAGGGUUUCGACCCACCAGAACUAGAUUCAGACCCUUUGAUGCGAGCUCGAAUGCAAGAGCCUUGCCAAUUCCAUCAGUGGAACCAGUGACUACUGCCCAUGAACCAUAGGAUUCCUUCAAAUUCUUUGGUGGCCUCAAGAACAUGACCCAUACCCACCUGCAAAAUCUCACAAUAUUUUUGCAGAGAGAAACGAAACCUAGGUAACUGAAGGUUAUUACGAUGAUAUCUAGCAAAUCCAUUGCCGUGAAAUUUUCUGCAGCUUGUCCGCAUAAAACAGACAAAGGUAUAUAGUACUGGAUGCGUUAAUGAAACGUACGUACUGUAAUCAAUGGCAGAUCUAGGGGCAAUGGGAA